rnacentral:lncRNA from 1 species
CCUUAAUUACGUUUCUGUGGUUGUUGUGGUGGUUAUGAGUUAAAAAUAAGCCGCGCCUUCGCUUUCCCAGUGGGGGGCCGAGUUUUGCUUUAAUUGCCUCUGUUUGAAUCAAUUUAGGCUCAAUUAUGCUCCUCCUUUCGGUGUAAUGGAGACGCCUGUGCCUGUCUGGCCAAAGCCCUGCAGCAGGCCGAGUGCUGGGCCUCCAUCAUGGCUGGCCUCACGAGGACAUCUCACUGUCAUUUUCCUGUGUUGCUGGGAUCUAAGACCAGACUCAUCAGCAAGCAAAAGACUGAUUCUGAGACCUCUGCUUCAGUUGCUUGGAUCCAUGGCCACAAUUAGAGAACUAGCCAUCGGCUGGAUUUUUCAGAGGUUUAAAAUAAUAAAGCACUUCUCAAUUUUCAGCUGACCUCUGGGAGGUUCACUUUUUCUCCCUUGAAAGUAGCACAAACCCAACACUUACAUCUUGGUCUUUUAACAACACGCGAGCUGUUUCUCAUCCUCAGCUCUUGCAAAAAUGGAAAAAUAUGGAGUGGAGGAGGAUUGCUGAAAAGUGGCACUGAUGAGUAGUGGUUCUUUUGUGAAGGAUGGUUGAGGCUUUUCUAACA